GACGAAGGAUUCAAGCGUUGUCCGGAUUUACUGGGUUUAAAGGGUGCGUAGGUGGGUUGGUAAGUCAGUGGUGAAAUACUUUCGCUUAACGAAGGAACUGCCAUUGAUACUAUCAAUCUUGAAUGUAGUGGAGGUAGGCGGAAUGCGUCAUGUAGCGGUGAAAUGCUUAGAUAUGACGCAGAACACCAAUUGCGAAGGCAGCUUGCUACACUACUAUUGACACUGAGGCACGAAAGCGUGGGGAUCAAACAGG
rnacentral:rRNA from 1 species